rnacentral:rRNA from 1 species
GAUGAACGCUGGCGGCGUGCCUAAUACAUGCAAGUCGAGCGAACAGAUGAGGAGCUUGCUCCUCUGACGUUAGCGGCGGACGGGUGAGUAACACGUGGAUAACCUACCUAUAAGCCUGGGAUAACUUCGGGAAACCGGAGCUAAUACCGGAUAAUAUAUUGAACCGCAUGGUUCAAUAGUGAAAGACGGUUUUGCUGUAACUUAUAGAUGGAUCCGCGCCGCAUUAGCUAGUUGGUAAGGUAACGGCUUACCAAGGCAACGAUGCGUAGCCGACCUGAGAGGGUGAUCGGCCACACUGGAACUGAGACACGGUCCAGACUCCUACGGGAGGCAGCAGUAGGGAAUCUUCCGCAAUGGGCGAAAGCUUGACGGAGCAACGCCGCGUGAGUGAUGAAGGUCUUCGGAUCGUAAAACUCUGUUAUUAGGGAAGAACAAAUGUGUAAGUAACUAUGCACGUCUUGACGGUACCUAAUCAGAAAGCCACGGCUAACUACGUG